rnacentral:rRNA from 1 species
GAUGAACGCUGGCGGCGUGCCUAAUACAUGCAAGUCGAGCGAACGGACGAGAAGCUUGCUUCUCUGAUGUUAGCGGCGGACGGGUGAGUAACACGUGGAUAACCUACUUAUAAGACUGGGAUAACUUCGGGAAACCGGAGCUAAUACCGGAUAAUAUUUUGAACCGCAUGGUUCAAAAGUGAAAGACGGUCUUGCUGUCACUUAUAGAUGGAUCCGCGCUGCAUUAGCUAGUUGGUAAGGUAACGGCUUACCAAGGCAACGAUGCAUAGCCGACCUGAGAGGGUGAUCGGCCACACUGGAACUGAGACACGGCCCAGACUCCUACGGGAGGCAGCAGUAGGGAAUCUUCCGCAAUGGGCGAAAGCCUGACGGAGCAACGCCGCGUGAGUGAUGAAGGUCUUCGGAUCGUAAAACUCUGUUAUUAGGGAAGAACAUAUGUGUAAGUAACUGUGCACAUCUUGACGGUACCUAAUCAGAAAGCCACGGCUAACUACGUG